UACGUAGGGUCCGAGCGUUGUCCGGAAUUACUGGGCGUAAAGGGCGCGUAGGCGGCCAUCUAAGUCAGACGUGAAAUCCCCCGGCUUAACCUGGGAACUGCGUCUGAUACUGGACGGCUAGAGUAUGGGAGAGGGAUGUAGAAUUCCAGGUGUAGCGGUGAAAUGCGUAGAUAUCUGGAGGAAUACCGGCGGCGAAGGCGGCAUCCUGGACCAUUUACUGACGCUGAGGCGCGAAAGCUAGGGGAGCAAACGGG
rnacentral:rRNA from 1 species